ensembl:lncRNA
GGAAGAAGUUUGACUAAUUUUGAUUUUGUUGUGUGGCUACAUUAUUAAGGUCAACAUAGAUAAAGAUGAGGAUUACAUAUCAAAUUCAUUGGCUGCAGAGUUGCCAAGAUGGAUGAAGGUUUGAUAAUAUUACUGGGGAAACGAUCUGCAAAUUUCCUCAACAUCUGCCGCUUCCUGCCACAAGACACCUGCACCUUUAACUGCUGAAAACAAAAGCAACAACCAUGCUGGCAAUGCCACUUCUACUAUUGCAUUUGGUCUUCUUUAUGGAGAUAAACGCAGUGGAAGAGACACGCUAUGGUCUGGAAGGACAGUCUGUGUGUUUGGACCCAAGAGGACAGCCUCCAUUUGAUUCUGCCAAAUGGAGCCAUGAAGAUGAGAAUAUUAUUUCAAACAAUAACAUUAAUCCUGAGUUUGAAAAGAAAAUAAAUUAUUACGAAUCCAAUUACACGUUAUGCAUCAAAACACUGGCUAAGGAGGACAAUGGAAUCUAUACAUUUUCCCAUGAAGUCAAAUUUAAGAACAUCCAUAACAAAUAUAGACUUAAAGUUCAAGCUGCAGUUCCUAAACCUGCCUUGAAUGUCACUCUGGAGCAGGUCAAUUCAUCCACAGGUGUUUGCAUCUUUACUGUGAACUGUUCUGUUCAAUACAACACUAAGAUCCACCGGCUUCAGUCCGAGUGCAACAAAGAUGGCUGCCAAUCUGCCUACAAAACCUUCUCUCACAUCAACAUCACCAUCUCCAGUGAAAAUGGAACACUUACCUGUACCAGUAACAAUCAUGUCAGCUCAAAAGAGGAUUCACGAGUGAUAGAAGAAUUCUGUUCAUUUUAACAAGACAUAAAAACCAGCCACGUGUGAUACAAAGUCAACCACUGGAGCAGCCUAGUCAACCAAGAAUCUCAACAUCUUCAGCUCAGGCUGACUCCUACGAAAACAUAGAUUCGGAAAACACAAACGAAAACUCAGUCUGUGAGGAGGAAAGUGACAAAGUGCGCACGAUUUACUGUGUGUUGGACCCACUGCCUACAUCAGAGGGGCCAGGAGCGAUGGACCAGCCUCAUCAAACCCAUACAGUGUACAGUGUAAUCCAAAGACCUAAAGUUUGAAGCCACAGCACCAUCUGCAGGCCAUGGCAAAAAACAACAACAACAACAAACUCUGGGGUUUCUAUACUGCAUCUAUGCAUUUCUGUCACACAGUUGGAUCACUGUAGAUGUGUUGUCUUGAGUUGGGCCAGUAAGGUGCUGAUGUAAUUAGUG